rnacentral:rRNA from 1 species
AAUUAUUCGGUAUACUAACUAGGAAUGCCUCGUACUGCGAGGUUCAACGAGACCCACUGGAAUCCGUCCCUGCCCUUUGUACACACCGCCCGUCGCUCUUACCGAUGGGUGUGGUUGUUAGCAUAGUUGAGUCUCCCACGAGCGAACCAAUAUAUUUAUGACGAGGUGAAUCUACGCAUGCAACCACGCCUAAAGGAAAGAGAA